rnacentral:rRNA from 1 species
UACGUAGGGACCAAGCGUUGUUCGGAUUUACUGGGCGUAAAGGGCGCGUAGGCGGCGUGACAAGUCCCUUGUGAAAUCUCUGGGCUUAACCCAGAACGGCCAAGUGAAACUGUUGUGCUAGAGUGCAGAAGGGGCAAUCGGAAUUCUCGGUGUAGCGGUGAAAUGCGUAGAUAUCGAGAGGAACACCAGAGGUGAAGACGGGUUGCUGGGCUGACACUGACGCUGAGGCGCGAAAGCCAGGGGAGCAAACGGG